GUAGGUGGCAAGCGUUGUCCGGAAUUAUUGGGCGUAAAGCGCGCGCAGGCGGUCCUUUAAGUCUGAUGUGAAAGCCCACGGCUCAACCGUGGAGGGUCAUUGGAAACUGGGGGACUUGAGUACAGAAGAGGAAAGCGGAAUUCCAAGUGUAGCGGUGAAAUGCGUAGAGAUUUGGAGGAACACCAGUGGCGAAGGCGGCUUUCUGGUCUGUAACUGACGCUGAGGCGCGAAAGCGUGGGGAGCAAACAGGGAUUAGAUACCCUGGUAGUCCACGCCGUAACCGAUGAGUGCUAAGUGUUAGGGGGUUUCCGCCCCCUUAGUGCUGCAGCUAACGCAUUAAGCACUCCGCCUGGGGAGUACGGCCGCAAGGCUG
rnacentral:rRNA from 1 species